rnacentral:rRNA from 1 species
GGACCCCACUGCUAUCGGGAUAAGACUAAGCCAUGCAAGUCAAGCGUCUCCAAGCUAUGUUGGAGAUGCGGCGUACGGCUCAGUAACACGUGGUUAAUCUACCCUUGGGACGGGAAUAACUCCGGGAAACUGGAGCUAAUACCCGAUGGGCGGGAACGUCUGGAAUGGUCUCCCGCUGAAAUGGCGUUGAAAGCAUGCUUUUAAUGUUGCCCAAGGAUGGGGCCGCGGCCGAUCAGGUUGUUGGUGAGGUAACGGCUUACCAAGCCUAUAACCGGUACGGNCCGUGAGAGCGGAAGCCCGGAGAUGGNCACUGAGAUAAGGGCCCAGGCCUUACGGGGCGCAGCAGUUGCGAAAACUCCGCAAUGCACGAAAGUGUGACGGGGCUACCCCGAGUGCCGUCCGCUGAGGAUGGCUUUUCUCCGCUGUAAGGAGGCGGAGGAAUAAGGAGAGGGCAAGACUGGUGUCAGCCGCCGCGGUAAUACCAGCUCUCCGAGUGGUAGGGGUGAUUAUUGGGCUUAAAGCGUCCGUAGCCGGCCUGGCAAGUCUUCCGCUAAAUCCAGCAACCUAAUUGUUGGGCUGCGGGGGAUACUGUUAGGCUAGGGGGCGGGAGAGGCCGACGGUAUUCUCGGGGUAGGGGUGAAAUCUUAUAAUCCCGGGAGGACCACCAGUGGCGAAGGCUGUCGGCUAGCACGCGCCUGACGGUGAGGGACGAAAGCUGGGGGAGCGAACCGGAUUAGAUACCCGGGUAGUCCCUGCUGUAAACGAUGCGAGCUAGGUGUUGGGGCGGCUACGAGCCGCUUCAGUGCCGCAGCGAAGGCGUUAAGCUCGCCGCCUGGGGAGUACGGCCGCAAGGCUGAAACUUAA